rnacentral:rRNA from 1 species
UACGUAGGGGGCGAGCGUUGUCCGGAUUUAUUGGGCGUAAAGAGCGUGUAGGCGGCCAGGUAGGUCUGCUGUGAAAACUCGAGGCUUAACCUCGAGAUGUCGGCGGAAACCAUCUGGCUAGAGUCCGGAAGAGGAGAGUGGAAUUCCUGGUGUAGCGGUGAAAUGCGCAGAUAUCAGGAAGAACACCCGUGGCGAAGGCGGCUCUCUGGGACGGUACUGACGCUGAGACGCGAAAGCGUGGGGAGCGAACGGG